rnacentral:rRNA from 1 species
GUAGGUGGCAAGCGUUGUCCGGAAUUAUUGGGGCGUAAAGCGCGCGCAGGCGGUUUUUUAAGUCUGAUGUGAAAGCCCACGGGCUCAACCGUGGAGGGCCAUUGGAAACUGGAGAACUUGAGUACAGAAGAGGAAAGCGGAAUUCCACGUGUAGCGGUGAAAUGCGUAGAGAUGUGGAGGAACACCAGUGGCGAAGGCGGCUUUCUGGUCUGUAACUGACGCUGAGGCGCGAAAGCGUGGGGAGCAAACAGGAUUAGAUACCCUGGUAGUCCACGCCGUAAACGAUGAGUGCUAAGUGUUAGGGGGUUUCCGCCCCUUAGUGCUGCAGCUAACGCAUUAAGCACUCCGCCUGGGGAGUACGGCCGCAAAGGCUGA